rnacentral:rRNA from 1 species
ACUUAAAUUGAAGAGUUUGAUCAUGGCUCAGAUUGAACGCUGGCGGCAGGCCUAACACAUGCAAGUCGAGCGGUAGCACAGAGAGCUUGCUCUCGGGUGACGAGCGGCGGACGGGUGAGUAAUGUCUGGGAAACUGCCUGAUGGAGGGGGAUAACUACUGGAAACGGUAGCUAAUACCGCAUAACGUCGCAAGACCAAAGUGGGGGACCUUCGGGCCUCAUGCCAUCAGAUGUGCCCAGAUGGGAUUAGCUAGUAGGUGGGGUAACGGCUCACCUAGGCGACGAUCCCUAGCUGGUCUGAGAGGAUGACCAGCCACACUGGAACUGAGACACGGUCCAGACUCCUACGGGAGGCAGCAGUGGGGAAUAUUGCACAAUGGGCGCAAGCCUGAUGCAGCCAUGCCGCGUGUGUGAAGAAGGCCUUCGGGUUGUAAAGCACUUUCAGCGGGGAGGAAGGCGUUAAGGUUAAUAACCUUGGCGAUUGACGUUACCCGCAGAAGAAGCACCGGCUAACUCCGUGCCAGCAGCCGCGGUAAUACGGAGGGUGCAAGCGUUAAUCGGAAUUACUGGGCGUAAAGCGCACGCAGGCGGUCUGUCAAGUCGGAUGUGAAAUCCCCGGGCUCAACCUGGGAACUGCAUUCGAAACUGGCAGGCUAGAGUCUUGUAGAGGGGGGUAGAAUUCCAGGUGUAGCGGUGAAAUGCGUAGAGAUCUGGAGGAAUACCGGUGGCGAAGGCGGCCCCCUGGACAAAGACUGACGCUCAGGUGCGAAAGCGUGGGGAGCAAACAGGAUUAGAUACCCUGGUAGUCCACGCCGUAAACGAUGUCGAUUUGGAGGUUGUGCCCUUGAGGCGUGGCUUCCGGAGCUAACGCGUUAAAUCGACCGCCUGGGGAGUACGGCCGCAAGGUUAAAACUCAAAUGAAUUGACGGGGGCCCGCACAAGCGGUGGAGCAUGUGGUUUAAUUCGAUGCAACGCGAAGAACCUUACCUGGUCUUGACAUCCACAGAACUUUCCAGAGAUGGAUUGGUGCCUUCGGGAACUGUGAGACAGGUGCUGCAUGGCUGUCGUCAGCUCGUGUUGUGAAAUGUUGGGUUAAGUCCCGCAACGAGCGCAACCCUUAUCCUUUGUUGCCAGCGGUUCGGCCGGGAACUCAAAGGAGACUGCCAGUGAUAAACUGGAGGAAGGUGGGGAUGACGUCAAGUCAUCAUGGCCCUUACGACCAGGGCUACACACGUGCUACAAUGGCAUAUACAAAGAGAAGCGACCUCGCGAGAGCAAGCGGACCUCAUAAAGUAUGUCGUAGUCCGGAUUGGAGUCUGCAACUCGACUCCAUGAAGUCGGAAUCGCAAGUAAUCGUAGAUCAGAAUGCUACGGUGAAUACGUUCCCGGGCCUUGUACACACCGCCCGUCACACCAUGGGAGUGGGUUGCAAAAGAAGUAGGUAGCUUAACCUUCGGGAGGGCGCUUACCACUUUGUGAUUCAUGACUGGGGUGAAGUCGUAACAAGGUAACCGUAGGGGAACCUGCGGUUGGAUCACCUCCUUACCUUAAAGAA